rnacentral:rRNA from 1 species
GCAGUCGACGGCAGCGCGGGGCAACCUGGCGGCGAGUGGCGAACGGGUGAGUAAUAUAUCGGAACGUGCCCUGGAGUGGGGGAUAACGCAGCGAAAGUUGCGCUAAUACCGCAUACGAUCUAAGGAUGAAAGCGGGGGAUUCGCAAGAACCUCGUGCUCCUGGAGCGGCCGAUAUCUGAUUAGCUAGUUGGUGGGGUAAAGGCCUACCAAGGCAUCGAUCAGUAGCUGGUCUGAGAGGACGACCAGCCACACUGGAACUGAGACACGGUCCAGACUCCUACGGGAGGCAGCAGUGGGGAAUUUUGGACAAUGGGCGAAAGCCUGAUCCAGCAAUGCCGCGUGAGUGAAGAAGGCCUUCGGGUUGUAAAGCUCUUUUGUCAGGGAAGAAACGGUGUGGGCUAAUAUCCUGCACUAAUGACGGUACCUGAAGAAUAAGCACCGGCUAACUACGUGCCAGCAGCCGCGGUAAUACGUAGGGUGCAAGCGUUAAUCGGAAUUACUGGGCGUAAAGCGUGCGCAGGCGGUUUUGUAAGUCUGUCGUGAAAUCCCCGGGCUCAACCUGGGAAUUGCGAUGGAGACUGCAAGGCUAGAAUCUGGCAGAGGGGGGUAGAAUUCCACGUGUAGCAGUGAAAUGCGUAGAGAUGUGGAGGAACACCGAUGGCGAAGGCAGCCCCCUGGGUCAAGAUUGACGCUCAUGCACGAAAGCGUG